AAAACACAGGUCACCCCCAGUUGCAACAUGGCUGCUUUUCCCAGCAAGGUGAUCAAAAAGCGGCAGUGUUCACAGCGUCUGUAACCAGCACUUCACCGGCAUCAUCCUUGGGCAUUUUCACAUAGUGGGCAAAUCCAACAGGGGAGCACGCAGAGAAAAGCAGGCGUGUGAAGAGGCUGCUUGCUGGCACAGCAGACCACAGCAUUUGCUACGGCGGUCGUAGAUCAGGCUGCUCACGGAAAGGGGCCCUUGUCUGAAGAUUCCCACUCCAGUCCCAUUGACUUUAUGGAUAGUCCUCGGGAUCUUGUCUGAGCACAUCCAAAUGUUUGUACAGCACCUGAUGCAAACAGGCCGUCGUCCUGCUUCAUUUGUCAAAUGAUAAAUAACAUAAUAAUGCUGUAAUUGGAGUCAUUCAUACAGACAGUAAUCAUCUGGUGAUUCAGUACAGCACAGACUUGUGAGGUGGAAGGCUGCGCUAAGCUUAUGCAGAGACUUCUAUCUUGCUCAUCAGUUUCUGCACGCUAAAUAUAUUCUGAAUUUACGAAUGCUGAAGUUUUAAGGUGAGAUUUUCUAUGCUUGGGCUCAACCCAAAAAUGAUUCAUUUCCGUAAUGCCGGAAUAAAACUGUUCAG
rnacentral:lncRNA from 7 species